UACGAGAGGUCCCAAGCGUUGUUCGGAUUCACUGGGCGUAAAGGGUGCGUAGGUGGCUUGGUAAGUUUGACGUGAAAUCUCCGGGCUUAACCCGGAAAAUGCGUUGAAUACUAUUUGAGCUGGAGGUUUGGAGGGGGGGGACUGGAAUUCUUGGUGUAGCAGUGAAAUGCGUAGAUAUCAAGAGGAACACCAGUGGCGAAGGCGAGUCCCUGGACAACACCUGACACUGAGGCACGAAAGCUAGGGAGCAAACAGG
rnacentral:rRNA from 1 species